AUAUUAUUCUCUUAUGUGUCUUCCUCUGUGCUCUGGUCAGGUCUCCUGUGUGGAACAACACAGGUGUGAAUCUGACGUUCCACAUCCCCAGUACCGACUCUAAAGGUGUGGUCAAAGUAUGUGUGGUCCUCCCUGAUGGUAGUUGCCAUGGCAACAGUAAGGUCACCUACCAGUCAUCACCAUCCUGCAUCAAAACUGAACCAAGCAGCACCUGGUUCAGUGGGAAGAGGAUUAUCACACUAAUAGGACCCAACUUAGAGUUUGUGGAAGAGGUCUUUCACAGUCACAACCCACAGGAGGUCAGAGUUCCCAGAAACAGCAACAGUCAGAAUCUAACCUAUGAAACAGCUGCAGCAGAAAACACUCGCUCUGCUUUUAUCAGCUCUGUGUUUCUGAAAGUAGCCAAUAAAACCUUGGUCUGUUCCACAAGCUUCACCUACUACCCAGAUCCUGAGUUCAUCACCUUCACGUCCACUAAGACAGACGACAAAGUGCUCGUCACCCUACAAGUAAUGCACGUUUUUAUUACAAUACAAUUUAUUUUUAGGACAUUGAUACAUAAUAAAAUCAACAUUUGUUUCUAUCAUUUCAGAAAAAGGAAGAUGAACUGGAGAUGA
rnacentral:lncRNA from 1 species